AAGCUGAGAGAUGAAGUUCACCUGCUACACACUGACUUGCCAAAGUGCAGGCAGCCUCCUGCUAAGUAAUCUUUCCAAGCUGAAGUGCACCAAGCUGGCGUUUUCACUGUACUGUCACAACCACAAGCUCUCACACCUGAAUGGAUACCGUCAUACAAAGUGAGGUUCAUUCAAAAUGCUGGUCUCUUCUGCUCUCACAUGGAAUCAGACCACCUUUGCCCUUAGCAAAAAUGCCCUUUGCCAAAAAUUCUACUGGCUUUCCUCUGCAGAGGAAACAUUGUAUAGCUGA